rnacentral:lncRNA from 1 species
UAUAUAUGUAAUGUGCUAUAUCGUUUGUUACAUUUUCUAUUCUAUAUGAUCAUGUAGAAUGAAAAUGCAUGUUACUUACAUUUCAAAAUUUGGAUUUAGUUUAUAAAAGAUUGGGGUUGAUAUUGGAUUAGGGAUUAUAUUUCCAUGUAGGAUUUAGUGAUUAGUGACUAGGGGUUAGUUUAUGAAAGAUUGGGGUUGACAUUGGAUUAGGAUUUAUAUUUCCGCGUAGGAUUUAGUGAAUAGUUGAUAUGGUUUAAUUUAUGUAUGAUUGUGGUUGACAUUGAGGCAAACAUUACCACCUUCUAUGAAGGCAUACCCAUAUAAACAUUUGAGAAAUAUGUUAAAAUGAUCUUUAGAUUGCAACUAUAUUUUCACACUUUCUAUUAUAUAUGCCUUAUGUAGAAUGGUAAUGCAUCUUACUGGCAUUUCGAAAUUUGGGUUUAAUUUAUGAAAAAUUGGAGUUGACACUGGAUUAGGGUUUAUAUUUCCGUAUAGAAUUUAGUGAUUAGUUGAUAGUGUUUAGUUUAUAUUCUGUGUUGGGUUAUUUUGUCGUAAAUUUACUGUGGCUAUUUUGUUAAAGUACAUGUCAUGAUUUUAUUCUAUAUUGCUCAUGUAAAAUGAAAAUUAAACUUCUUUACAUUCAUGUUAUAAAUUGGAAUGGAAUACAAGAUAUAU